GCCUCGGAGUCUCAGGCGGUUGCCCAGGUCCUCCCGGUAAAACCCUCGAGAUUGCUAGGGAGAGGAGCAAGGGAGGGGCCAGCGCGCAGAACUGCCGAUGCAACCCGGCGGCCGCGGGCGGGGCUUAGGCGGAGCUUCAGGAAACAGCUAGAGAGACUGCAGGAGUCUCCAGAGCGCGCGCGCCGGCCCUCCCCGGCCCGACCCACGCGGCGCGGCGUGGUGACGCCCGCGCGGCCUGAGGAAGGGGCGGGGCCGGGGCGGGCCUCUGCGCUCCUCCCGCCCUCUCUCUGUCCCUACUCUCCCUCCCCUUCCCUCCCCCACACUCGGCCCCGUCAGCUUGGGGGUACCUUCGUCGCGCAGCCUCGCGUCGGCCCGGCCCGGCCAGGCCAGCGGGCAGAUGCCCCGAGCUGCCGCCGCCGACUUGGCCGGUGGCGGUGUGGGAGGUGGGCGACCAGCCCGGGGCCGCUGAGUGUGACGGACGCAACUGGGGGCGCCGGGGGCCCGGGGCCGGCGUCGGUGGCUCCGCACGGACCAUGUAUUUUCUGAGCGGCUGGCCCAAGAGGCUGCUGUGCCCUCUGGGGAGCCCGGCCGAGGCGCCUUUCCACGUUCAGUCCGACCCGCAGAGGGCUUUCUUCGCCGUGCUGGCCGCGGCCCGCCUCAGCAUCUGGUACAGCCGACCUAGUGUGUUAAUUGUAACCUACAAGGAGCCUGCAAAAUCAUCUACUCAGUUUGGAUCCUACAAGCAAGCUGAAUGGAGGCCAGAUAGUACCAUGAUAGCUGUAUCAACGGCAAAUGGAUACAUCUUGUUUUUUCAUAUUACAUCUACAAGAGGGGACAAGUACCUUUAUGAACCAGUGUAUCCCAAAGGAAGUCCACAAAUGAAGGGGACACCCCAUUUUAAGGAAGAACAGUGUGCUCCAGCAUUAAAUUUAGAGAUGAGGAAAAUACUGGAUUUACAAGCACCCAUCAUGAGUUUGCAGUCUGUGUUGGAAGAUCUCCUGGUUGCUACUUCUGAUGGACUUCUUCAUCUUAUUCACUGGGAAGGAAUGACAAAUGGAAGGAAAGCCAUUAAUCUUUGCACAGUACCCUUUUCAGUAGACCUGCAGUCAUCUAGAGUAGGUUCAUUCCUGGGCUUCACAGACGUACACAUCAGAGACAUGGAAUACUGUGCCACACUUGAUGGGUUUGCUGUUGUAUUUAAUGAUGGUAAAGUUGGAUUUAUUACACCAGUGUCAAGUAGAUUUACUGCAGAGCAGCUUCAUGGAGUUUGGCCACAAGAUGUUGUUGACGGAACGUGUGUAGCAGUAAAUAACAAGUAUCGACUAAUGGCAUUUGGCUGUGUGAGUGGUUCUGUGCAGGUCUAUACAAUAGAUAACAGCACUGGAGCCAUGCUGUUAUCUCAUAAAUUAGAGCUAACAGCAAAACAGUAUCCUGACAUUUGGAAUAAAACAGGAGCUGUUAAAUUGAUGAGAUGGUCUCCUGACAAUAGUGUUGUAAUAGUGACCUGGGAAUAUGGAGGCCUUUCUUUAUGGAGUGUGUUUGGGGCACAGCUGAUUUGUACACUUGGAGGAGAUUUUGCUUAUAGGUCUGAUGGCACCAAAAAAGAUCCCCUUAAGAUCAACUCUAUGAGCUGGGGUGCAGAAGGCUAUCACCUGUGGGUAAUCAGCAGAUUUGGUUCUCAAAACACUGAAAUUGAGUCUGACCUCGGGAGUGUAGUUAAACAGCCCAGCAUCCUGUUAUUUCAGUUUAUUAAGAGUGUACUCACUGUAAACCCUUGUAUGAGUAACCAAGAGCAGGUGUUGCUUCAGGGUGAGGAUCGCUUGUACUUGAACUGUGGAGAGGCUUCACAAACCCAGAAUCCCAGGAGUUCUUCAACACGCUCUGAACAUAAGCCCAGUCGAGAAAAGAGCCCAUUUGCAGAUGGAGGUUUAGAGUCUCAGGGAUUAAGCACUUUACUUGGACAUCGGCAUUGGCAUGUUGUACAGAUUUCCAGCACCUAUCUAGAGAGCAAUUGGCCUAUACGGUUUUCAGCUAUUGAUAAGCUUGGACAGAAUAUUGCUGUGGUUGGCAAGUUUGGUUUUGCACAUUACUCUUUACUCACCAAAAAAUGGAAACUUUUUGGAAACAUUACCCAGGAGCAAAAUAUGAUCGUGACAGGUGGCUUAGCCUGGUGGAAUGAUUUUAUGGUCCUUGCGUGUUACAACAUAAAUGACCGUCAAGAAGAGCUUAGAGUAUAUUUGCGAACAUCAAAUCUGGACAAUGCCUUUGCUCAUGUCACCAAAGCACAAGCAGAAACAUUACUGCUUAGUGUCUUCCAGGACAUGGUAAUAGUAUUUAGAGCAGACUGUUCAAUAUGCCUUUACAGUAUUGAAAGAAAAUCUGAUGGUCCAAAUACUACUGCUGGUAUUCAAGUUCUUCAGGAGGUUUCCAUGUCACGCUACAUUCCUCACCCUUUCCUGGUGGUAUCUGUCACUCUGACAUCAGUGAGUACAGAGAAUGGAAUCACCUUGAAAAUGCCACAGCAGGCUCGUGGUGCAGAGAGCAUUAUGUUAAACCUGGCAGGACAGCUCAUCAUGAUGCAGAGGGACAGGUCAGGCCCACAGAUCCGGGAGAAGGACAGUAACCCUAAUAACCAAAGGAAACUUCUGCCAUUCUGUCCUCCUGUUGUACUAGCCCAGUCUGUUGAAAAUGUCUGGACAACGUGUCGAGCAAAUAAACAGAAACGUCACCUUCUGGAGGCCCUCUGGCUGAGCUGUGGUGGUUCAGGGAUGAAAGUUUGGCUCCCUCUCUUCCCUAGGGAUCACCGCAAGCCCCAUUCCUUCUUGUCCCAGCGGAUCAUGCUGCCUUUCCACAUCAACAUUUACCCGCUAGCUGUUCUGUUUGAAGAUGCUUUAGUCCUUGGUGCUGUCAAUGACACUUUGCUCUAUGAUUCUUUGUAUACUCGGAACAAUGCUAGAGAACAGCUGGAGGUGCUCUUCCCUUUCUGUGUUGUGGAGAGAACCUCUCAGAUCUACCUCCACCACAUUCUACGUCAACUUCUGGUCAGAAACCUUGGGGAGCAAGCCUUGCUCUUGGCCCAGUCCUGUGCCACAUUACCUUACUUCCCUCAUGUGCUGGAGCUCAUGCUCCAUGAAGUACUGGAAGAAGAAGCUACCUCACGGGAGCCCAUUCCCGACCCUCUGCUUCCCACUGUAGCAAAAUUUAUCACUGAGUUCCCCCUCUUCCUGCAGACAGUUGUCCAUUGUGCCAGGAAGACCGAAUAUGCCCUAUGGAAUUACCUUUUUGCAGCUGUUGGAAACCCUAAGGACUUGUUUGAGGAAUGUUUGAUGGCUCAGGAUUUGGACACAGCUGCCUCUUACCUUAUUAUCUUACAGAAUAUGGAAGUCCCUGCAGUAAGUAGGCAACAUGCUACCCUUCUAUUCAACACAGCACUAGAACAAGGCAAGUGGGACCUUUGUCGACACAUGAUUCGAUUUCUUAAAGCCAUUGGCUCUGGAGAAUCUGAGACACCUCCAUCCACACCCACAGCUCAGGAACCCAGUUCAAGUGGUGGAUUUGAGUUCUUCAGGAAUCGAAGCAUCAGUUUAUCCCAGUCAGCUGAAAAUGUUCCUCCCAGUAAAUUCAGUUUACAGAAAACACUAAGUAUGCCAUCUGGUCCCUCUGGAAAAAGAUGGAGCAAAGACAGUGACUGUGCUGAGAACAUGUAUAUUGACAUGAUGCUCUGGAGACAUGCUCGGCGCCUCUUAGAAGAUGUGAGGUUAAAGGACCUUGGCUGCUUUGCAGCCCAGCUGGGCUUUGAACUAAUUAGUUGGCUAUGCAAGGAACGUACCCGAGCUGCCCGGGUAGACAACUUUGUAAUAGCUCUGAAGAGACUCCACAAAGAUUUCCUGUGGCCACUUCCAAUCAUCCCAGCCUCUUCUAUCAGUUCUCCUUUCAAAAAUGGAAAAUACCGAACUGUGGGAGAGCAGCUGUUAAAGUCUCAAUCAGCUGACCCAUUUUUAAACCUUGAGAUGGAUGCUGGCAUCUCCAACAUCCAGCGAAGUCAGAGCUGGCUCAGCAACAUUGGCCCCACCCAUCAUGAGAUAGACACAGCUUCAUCCCAUGGACCACAAAUGCAAGAUGCCUUCUUGUCACCUUUAUCUAAUAAAGGUGAUGAAUGCAGUAUUGGUUCAGCCACAGACUUGACUGAAAGUAGCUCCAUGGUGGAUGGAGACUGGACAGUGGUGGAUGAAAAUUUCUCUACACUCAGUUUAACUCAGUCAGAGCUGGAGCACAUUUCCAUGGAGUUGGCCAGUAAAGGGCCUCAUAAAUCCCAGGUCCAGCUUCGGUAUUUGCUACACAUUUUCAUGGAGGCAGGGUGCCUAGACUGGUGCAUCGUUAUAGGCCUGAUUCUUAGAGAAUCCUCAGUAAUCAAUCAGAUUUUGGUUAUUACACAGUCUUCAGAGGUAGAUGGAGAGAUGUUACAGAACAUAAAGACAGGGCUCCAUGCAGUGGACCGAUGGGCCUCUACAGACUGUCCUGGAUAUAAGCCAUUUUUAAACAUCAUUAAGCCACAACUGCAGAAGCUCAGUGAGGUAACAGAAGAGCAGGUCCAGCCAGAUGCCUUCCAACCAAUAACUAUGGGUAAGACUCCGGAACAGACUAGCCCCCGGGCAGAGGAGAGCAGGGGCUCCUCCAGCCAUGGAAGCAUCCCCCAGGGUGAAGUUGGAAGCAGCAGUAUGGUCAGCCGGAAAGAGGAGGACACAGCCCAAGCAGAGGAGGAAGAACCUUUUCAGGAUGGGACUUACGACUGUUCUGUGUCCUAACAACAGUGAGGUUCCAUCACAAAGGGGCAGUAUUAAUUAGCAGCAGCGUGCAACUCAGUAUGUUGGACAUAGUUGGAUGAUUUAACAGGAGAACUCAGUUCAGAGACUCUUUGAUUUAGAAUGACAGCAUCAAGAGUUGGCAACAUCCUAGAUGCCUGACAGUAAAAUACUGGAGGAAACAGCCCAUGUCGAUGACAUGGAAAAUGUUCAAAAUAUAAUGAAGGAAUGGCAGAAAAUUAUGUAUACCUUAAGAUAUCUACCAAGCAAACAAAAUUUUACAUGUAAGUAUAGAGGAACCUAGGUGUCAUUUCUAAUAAGUGGGAUUAAAAGGUACUUUGACUUUUUCCCAUUUUCCUAAAUAUGCUUUCAGUCUCCAUGGAUUUGCCUAUUCUGGACAUUUCAUAUAAAUGGAAACAUACAGUAUGUGAACUUUUCUAUCUCACUUCUUGGCACCAAAGCAUGCUGUUAUUUUGGCUGUAGCCAUCCAAGUUGUACAUGAAGUAGUGUCUCAUCAUAGUUUAGAUUUUCAUUUACCUAAUGGUUAAUGUAAAUCUUCUCGUAGGAUUAUUAGCCAUUUGUCUAUUUUUGAAGAAAAAUGUCUGUUUAAUUAGGUCGUUUCAUUGUUGAUUUGCUGGAGUUCUUUAUAUAUUCUGGAUACUAUUUUAUGUACAUAUAAAUUGCAAAUAUUUCUUAUUCUGUGGGCUUUUCACUUUUUUAGGUUUCAAUAUUCAAGUUUUUUUUUUUUAAGUAAUGUUGAUUACAGCAUUUGAAGGGGAGAAUCUAAUUCCACACAAAAUGGAAGACUCUAAAAUGUACCCAUUAAAUACUGCUAAAAAAAAAAAGAAAAAGAGUGGUGAGAAUACAACAGAAGUCUGAUUUAGAUUGAGUGUUGUCACCAUGUGAUUACAAUCAAUCAAUCAAUCACACAGACUCUCAAUCAUUUCACUUUCUUGAUAAUGUCCUUUGAAACACUGUUUUUCAUUUUAAGUCCAACUUAUUUUUUCUUUGGUUGCUUGUGCCUAAUAAUGUGGGUUAUGAAUAUUUACAACUAAAAGUUUUAAGAAUUUUAUAGUUAUAUCUCCUACAUUUAGGUCUUUGAUCCAUUUUGAGUUAAUCUUCGUGUAUGAUAUGAGAGAGAGAUCUGACUUCAUUCUUCUAACGUGGCUAUUCAAUUGUCAGAGCACCAUUUAUGGAAAGGAUUUUUUUCCCAUUGUCAAAAAUCAACAACUAUAGAUGUAUGGGUUUAUUUAUAGACUCUUAAUUGUAUUCUAAUGAUCUAUAAUAUCUUCUUAUGCCAAUACCACAUUGCCUUGAUUUCUGUUGCUUUGUAGGAAAUUUUGAAAGUGAGAGUCCUAAGUUUGUUUUUUCUAGGCUGUUUUGGCUAUUCUAGGUCCCUUGUAUUUCCAUAUGAAUUUCAGGAUCAGCUUGUCAAUUUCUAUACUAAAAUAAAGGCAGUUGGGAUUUUCAUAAGCAUUGUAUUCAUGACAUAAAGCAAUCUGGAGAAUAUUGCCAUAUUAAGCCUUCCAGUCCAUGAACAUGAGAUGUCUUUCCAUUUAUUGGGUUUUUAGUGUCUUUUAACAGUGGCUUAUAAUUUUUGCUAAGUCUCAUACUUUUGUUAGUUUUAUUUCUAAGUAUUAUUGCUACUGUAAAAAAAUGGGAUUUUCUGUUUUUGGAUUGUGUAUAUAAAUACAAUUGCUUCUAUAUAUUGACAUUGCAUCAUGCAACAUCAAACUUUUUCUUUUUUGUGGAUUCCUUAGGAUUUUCUACAUUGAAGGUCAUGUUGUUUGCAACCAGAGAUAGUUUGAACUCUUCCUUUUCAAUCUAGAUGCCUUUUCUUUCUUUCUCCUGUCAAACUGUCCUGGCUACAGCCACCAGUACAAUGCUUAUUAGGUGGCAAUAGUGGAUAUCCUUGUCUUCUGAUCUUAGGGAGAUGCUUUCUCUCAUCACUAAUUAUGAUGCUAGCUGUGGGUUUUUUAUAGAUAACCUUUAUCUGGUUGAGGAUGUUUGUCUUUUACAAAAUCCAAAACCCUUCCAUGAUAAAAACACUCAACAAACAUACAUUGCAUCUACUGAAGUAGUCAUGUGGUUUUUGUCCUUUAUUCUAUUAAUAUGGUACAUUGCACUGAUUUUCAAAUGUUUUUAAGACAGUUUUGCUCUGUCACCCAUGCUGGAAGGAAGUGGCGCAGUCAUGGCUUGCUGCAGCCUCAACCUCCUGAGCUCCAGCCAUCCUCCUACCUCAGUUUCUAUAGUAAGUAGUUGGGCCCACAAGCACACACCACCAUGCCCUGCUAAUUUUUGUGUUUUUAGUAGAGUCAGGGUUUUGCCAUGUUGUCCAGGCCAGUCUCAAACUCCUGUGCUUAAGCAAUCCACCCACCUUGGCCUCCCAAAGUGCUGAGAUAAAGCAUGUGCCACUGCACCUGGCCAACUUUCUGUUAAACCAACCUUGCAUUCCUGGCAUAAAUUCCAUUCGGUCAUGCUGUAGAGCCAAGUUGGAGAAAAAAGAAAUCAUUACCAACAUGUUAUGUUUUUACAAAUCAAAUAUGGAAGUAGAAGUGUCAAAAAAUACACUGAUACACCCCAAAAAUCCCUACGUAUUUCAACUAAAAACAGACAUUAAGAGCCAUAACUGGGAUUGCUGGCAAGAUGGCUGAAUAGGAACAGCUCUGGUCUGCAGCUCCCAGCAAGAUCGACACAGAAGGCGGGUGAUUUCUGCAUUUCCAGCUGAGGUACCUGGUUCAUCUCACUGGGACUGGUUGGACAGUGGGUGCAGCCCUGUGAGGGUAAGCCAAAGCAGGGUGGUUCGUUGCCUCACCUGGGAAGCGCAAGGGGUCAGGGAACUCCUUCUCCCAGCCAAGGGAAGCCAUUAGGGACUGUAUCUUGCAAUCCAGCCCAGAUACUGUGCUUUUCCCACAGUCUUCGCAACCUGCAGACCAGGAGAUUCCCUCCAGUGCCCAUGCCACCAGGGCCCUGGGUUUCCACUACAAAACUGGAUGGCUGUUUUGGGUAGACACGAAGCUAGCCGCAGUUUUUUUUUUCAUACCCCAGUGGCACCUGGAACACCAGUCAGACAGAACCAUUCACUCCCCUGGAAAGGGGGCUGAAGCCAGGGAGCCAAGUGGUCUGGUUUGGCAGGUCCCACCCCCACAGAGCCCAGCAAGCUAAGAUCCACUGGCUUGAAAUUCUUGCUGCUGGCACAGCAGUCUGAGCUUGACCUGGGAUGCUCCAACAUGGGGGGAGGGGCGUCCACCAUUGCUAAGGCUUGAGUAGGCAGUUUUACCCUCACAGUGUAAACAAAGCCACUGGGAAGUUCAAAAUGGGUGGAGCCCACUGCAGCUCAGCAAGGCCACUGCAGCCAGACUGCCUCUCUAGAUUCCCUCCUCUCCGGGCAGGGCAACUCUGAAAAAAAGGCAGCAGCCCCAGUCAGGGACUAACAGAUAAAACCCCCACCUCCCUGGGACAGAGCACUUUGGACAAAGGGCAGUUGUGGGCGCAGCUUCAGCAGACUUAAACAUCCCUGCCUGGCAGCUGCGAAGAGAGCAGCGGAUCUCCCAGCACAGCAUUUGAGCUCUGAUAAAGGACAGAUUAACUCCUCAAGUGGGUCCUCCCAGUAGGUGCCAACAGACACCUCAUACAGGAGAGCUCUAGCUGGCACCUGGCGGGUACCCCUGUAGGAUGAAGCUUCCAAAGGAAGAAACAGGUACCAGUCUUUGCUGUUCUGCAGCCUUCACCAGUGAUACCCAGGCAAACAGGGUCUGGACUGGACCUCAAGUCAACUCCAGCCAACCUGCAGCAGAGGGCCUGAAUGUAAGAAGGAAAACCACCAAACAGAAAGGAAUAGUAUCAACAUCAACAAAAAGGACGUCCACUCAAGAGAUCCCAGCUGAAGGUCACCAACUUCAAAGGUAGAUAAAUCCACGAAGACGGGGAGAAAACACAAAAAGCCUGAAAAUUCCAAAAAGCAGAUCACCUCUUCUCCUCCAAAGGAUCACAACUCCUUGCCAGCAAGGGAGCAGAACUGGACAGAGAAUGAGUUUGACGAAUUGACAGAAGUAAGCUUCAGAAGGUGGGUAAUAACAAACUCCUCCAAGCUAAAGGAGUAUGUUCUAACCCAAUGGAAGGAAGCUAAGAACCUUGAAAAAAGGUUAGACAAAUUGCUAACUAGAAUAACCAGUUUACAGAAGAAUAUAAAUGACCUGAUAGAGCUGAAAACAACAGCGCGAGAACUUCAUGAAGCAUACACAGGUAUCAAUAGCCGAAUUGAUCGAGUGGAAGAAAGGAUAUCAGAGACUGAAGAUCAACUCAAUGAAAUAAA